UACGUAGGGUGCGAGCGUUAAUCGGAAUUACUGGGCGUAAAGCGUGCGCAGGCGGUUCGCCAAGUCAGGUGUGAAAUCCCCCGGGCUUAACCUGGGAAUUGCGCUUGAAACUAGCGGGCUUGAGUGCGGCAGAGGGGGGGUGGGAAUUCCACGUGUAGCAGUGAAAUGCGUAGAGAUGUGGAGGAACACCGAUGGCGAAGGCAGCCCCCCUGGGUCGACACUGACGCUCAUGCACGAAAGCGUGGGGAGCAAACAGG
rnacentral:rRNA from 1 species